AGUUGAGCAGUUUAAUGUAAAACCAAAUAUCAGAAGAUUGAGAUAAAUGUGUCACACACAGUUUAUCUUCUAUAUUAAAAACAGGUGAACUUUAUCCAUCCACGGAAGUGCAGCCUUCAAUAGCACUUGAAUAAGCUAAAUCUUGUUAUGGUCCAAACUGGAAGAGAUUAAGUUGAAGUGCUGGCACAUUUACACAAACCAGCACGCAUUGGUCUCAGGUGGUUUUGUUAAGGUCCAUCCAUCCAGUGUUACAUGGCCUGGGGGUGAGUUGCAGAAACAG
rnacentral:lncRNA from 1 species